AUUGAACGCUGGCGGCAUGCCUAACACAUGCAAGUCGAACGGGAGGCUUCGGCCUCUAGUGGCGGACGGGUGAGGAACGCGUAGGAAUCGGCCCACGAGUGGGGGACAACCUGGGGAAACUCAGGCUAAUACCGCAUACGCUCGCGAGAGGAAAGCGGGGGACCUUCGGGCCUCGCGCUGGUGGACGAGCCUACGUCCGAUUAGCUAGUUGGUGGGGUAAACGCCUACCAAGGCGACGAUCGGUAGCGGGUCUGAGAGGACGACCCGCCACACUGGGACUGAGACACGGCCCAGACUGCUACGGGAGGCAGCAGUGGGGAAUAUUGGACAAUGGGCGCAAGCCGGAUCCAGCAAUGCCGCGUGGGUGAAGACGGCCUGCGGGUUGUAAAGCCCUUUAGGCGGGGAGGAACGGUCGGGUGCCAAUACCACCCGGCACUGACGUUACCCGCAGAAUAAGCACCGGCUAACUCCGUGCCAGCAGCCGCGGUAAGAC
rnacentral:rRNA from 1 species